UAUCAUUUGAUUUUAAGUUGAAAGAUUUAUUGCUGAAGGAUGGGUCUGCGCACCAUUAGCUAGUUGGUGGGGUAAUGGCCUACCAAGGCCGCGAUGGUUAGCGGGUCUGAGAGGAUGGUCCGCCACACUGGAACUGAGACACGGUCCAGACUCCUACGGGAGGCAGCAGUGGGGAAUUUUGCGCAAUGGGCUAAAGCCUGACGCAGCAAUACCGCGUGAGUGAAGAAGGCCCUUGGGUCGUAAAGCUCUUUUUUCAGGGAAGAUAAUGACGGUACCUGAAGAAUAAGCACCGGCUAACUCCGUGCCAGCAGCCGCGGUAAUACGGAGGGUGCGAGCGUUGUUCGGAUUUACUGGGCGUAAAGGGCACGCAGGCGGCAUAACAAGCUAAGGGUGAAAUCCCGGGGCUCAACUCCGGAAUUGUUCUUAGAACUGUUAAGCUAGAGAUAGUUAGAGGCGGGUGGAAUUCCUGGUGUAGAGGUGAAAUUCGUAGAUAUCAGGAGGAACACCGGAGGCGAAGGCGACCCGCUGGAGCUAUUCUGACGCUGAGGUGCGAAAGCGUGGGGAGCGAACGGGAUUAGAUACCCCGGUAGUCCACGCCGUAAACGAUGAAUACCAGCUGUUUGAGAAAUCGACCUCUCAAGUGGCGCAGCUAACGCGAUGAGUAUUCCGCCUGGGGAUUACGGUCGCAAGACUAAAACUCAAAGGAAUUGACGGGGGCCCGCACAAGCGGUGGAGCAUGUGGUUUAAUUCGACGCAACGCGAAGAACCUUACCUGGGUUUGACAUCCCCUGACAGCUGCGGAGACGCGGUUUUCUCUUCGGAGACAGGGUGACAGGUGCUGCAUGGCUGUCGUCAGCUCGUGUCGUGAGAUGUUGGGUUAAGUCCCGCAACGAGCGCAACCCUUGUCCUUAGUUGCCAGCGCGUAAUGGCGGGAACUCUAAGGAGACUGCCGGUGUUAAGCCGGAGGAAGGUGGGGAUGACGUCAAGUCCUCAUGGCCUUUAUAUCCAGGGCUACACACGUGCUACAAUGGUGACUACAAAGAGUCGCGAAGCCGCGAGGUGGAGCUAAUCUCAAAAAAGUCAUCUCAGUUCGGAUUGCAGUCUGCAACUCGGCUGCAUGAAGUUGGAAUCGCUAGUAAUCGUAGAUCAGCGUGCUACGGUGAAUACGUUCCCGGGCCUUGUACACACCGCCCGUCACACCAUGGGAGUUGAUAUUAGCAGAAUACAUUGAGCUAACUUUCGAGAGGCAGGUGUAGAAGCUAGUGUUGAUGACUGGGGUGAAGUCGGAACAAGGUA
rnacentral:rRNA from 1 species